GAGCGGCUAGCUCAGUUGGUUAGAGCACCAGCUCGACAAGCUGGGGGUCACAAGUUCAAGUCUCGUGUCGCUCA
rnacentral:tRNA from 1 species